rnacentral:tRNA from 1 species
GGGAGUAUAGCUCAGUUGGUUAGAGCACACCCCUGAUAAGGGUGAGGUCGAUUGUUCGAGUCAAUUUACUCCCACCA